UACGUAGGGUGCAAGCGUUAAUCGGAAUUACUGGGCGUAAAGCGUGCGCAGGCGGUUAUAUAAGACAGUUGUGAAAUCCCCGGGCUCAACCUGGGAACUGGCAUCUGUGACUGUAUAGCUAGAGUACGGUAGAGGGGGAUGGAAUUCCGCGUGUAGCAGUGAAAUGCGUAGAUAUCAGGAGGAAUACCGAUGGCGAAGGCA
rnacentral:rRNA from 1 species